UGCAAGUCGAACGAGAGGCUCUUCGGAGUAGUAAAGUGGCAAACGGGUGAGGAAUGCAUGGGUAACCUACCCUUGAGAAGGGAAUAACCCGCCGAAAGGUGAGCUAAUACCCUAUACGCUACACUUUCUAUGGGAGGUGUAGGAAAGCUAAGCCGUGGGUUUGGCACUCAAGGAGGGGCUCAUGUCCUAUCAGCUUGUUGGUAGGGUAACGGCCUACCAAGGCAACGACGGGUAGCUGGUCUGAGAGGAUGAUCAGCCACACUGGCACUGAGAUACGGGCCAGACUCCUACGGGAGGCAGCAGUGAGGAAUAUUGCGCAGUGGGCGAAAGCCUGACGCAGCGACGCCGCGUGGGGGAUGAAGGUUCUCGGAUUGUAAACCCCUUUUGUGAGGAAAGAGAAAGUGGGUAACCACUUAGACGGUACCUCAAGAAAAAGCCACGGCUAACUUCGUGCCAGCAGCCGCGGUAAUACGAAGGUGGCGAGCGUUGUUCGGAUUUACUGGGCGUAAAGAGCACGUAGGCGGUUGGGUAAGCCUCUUGGGAAAGCUCCCGGCUUAACCGGGAAAGGUCGAGAGGAACUACUCAGCUAGAGGACGGGAGAGGAGCGCGGAAUUCCCGGUGUAGCGGUGAAAUGCGUAGAUAUC
rnacentral:rRNA from 1 species